UACGUAGGGUGCGAGCGUUAAUCGGAAUUACUGGGCGUAAAGCGUGCGUAGGCGGUUCGUUAAGUUCGUUGUGAAAGCCCCGGGCUCAACCUGGGAAUGGCAAUGGAAACUGGCGGGCUGGAGUAUGGCAGAGGGGGGUGGAAUUCCGCGUGUAGCAGUGAAAUGCGUAGAGAUGUGGAGGAACACCGAUGGCGGAAGGCAGCCCCCUGGGUCAAGAUUGACGCUCAUGCACGAAAGCGUGGGGAGCAAACAGG
rnacentral:rRNA from 1 species